rnacentral:rRNA from 1 species
AACGAACGCUGGCGGCAGGCUUAACACAUGCAAGUCGAACGCCCCGCAAGGGGAGUGGCAGACGGGUGAGUAACGCGUGGGAAUCUACCCAGUUCUACGGAACAACUGAGGGAAACUUCAGCUAAUACCGUAUACGCCCUACGGGGGAAAGAUUUAUCGGAAUUGGAUGAGCCCGCGUUGGAUUAGCUAGUUGGUGAGGUAACGGCUAACCAAGGCGACGAUCCAUAGCUGGUCUGAGAGGAUGAUCAGCCACACUGGGACUGAGACACGGCCCAGACUCCUACGGGAGGGAGCAGGGGGGAAUAUUGGACAAUGGGCGCAAGCCUGAUCCAGCCAUGCCGCGUGAGUGAUGAAGGCCUUAGGGUUGUAGAGCUCUUUCAGUGGGGACGAUAAUGACGGUACCCACAGAAGAAGCCCCGGCUAACUUCGUGCCAGCCGCCGCCGUAAAAC